rnacentral:rRNA from 1 species
UGGGGAAUUUUGGACAAUGGGCGAAAGCCUGAUCCAGCAAUGCCGCGUGUGUGAAGAAGGCCUUCGGGUUGUAAAGCACUUUUGUCCGGAAAGAAAUCCUUGGCUCUAAUACAGUCGGGGGAUGACGGUACCGGAAGAAUAAGCACCGGCUAACUACGUGCCAGCAGCCGCGGUAAUACGUAGGGUGCAAGCGUUAAUCGGAAUUACUGGGCGUAAAGCGUGCGCAGGCGGUUUGCUAAGACCGAUGUGAAAUCCCCGGGCUCAACCUGGGAACUGCAUUGGUGACUGGCAGGCUAGAGUAUGGCAGAGGGGGGUAGAAUUCCACGUGUAGCAGUGAAAUGCGUAGAGAUGUGGAGGAAUACCGAUGGCGAAGGCAGCCCCCUGGGCCAAUACUGACGCUCAUGCACGAAGGCGUGGGGAACAAACAGGAUUAGAUACCCUGGUAGUCCACGCCCUAAACGAUGUCAACUAGUUGUUGGGGAUUCAUUUCCUUAGUAACGUAGCUAACGCGUGAAGUUGACCGCCUGGGGAGUACGGUCGCAAGAUUAAAACUUAAAUGAAUUGACGGGGUCAUAGCUGUUUCCU